rnacentral:lncRNA from 1 species
GACUUUGUUUAAUGCUGUUUACAAUUAACAGAAAGCUCUUUGAUUAAAGGUGUGUGCUAGGACUGAGUCAUGAAACUAGGCACAGAUGGAAUUACACAGUGCAUAAACUGGUUCUGUGUACACAGAUGUCCAUUUACCCACAUGAAGUGACCAUGGAAGUAUACAGCACGUCCACAACCCAGCCCCCCAUUCUGGAAGUGAGGGAGCGGUGUUCGGCCACCCAAUGGGGAACACUUGGCUUUUCCACAUUCCGGUUCACGUGCCAUCUAGCUUGGAAAAUGUAGCAUUGCUUACCACAAAGCUGUCCCCCAGUGACACAGGCAGGGUGGGGAUGCCUCUACUUUGGAUCACAGAAUUGUCCUUGGUAAGAUUGCCAUUGAGAUCAUUGAUGGACUGGUUCCAUGAGGCAGAGUCCAGCCCACCAUGGGGACAGGAGUUCCUUGGGAAGCAUUUAAGGAAUAUUCUCUUUCUCUUUGCACCCAGCACAGUCGUGAUGUUCUCUAUGACCAACUUCCUGCCCUGGCAGAUGGAGUUAUUGUUCACCCAGCAGUGAAGGUUCCACUGCAUGUUGCAGACAAAGGCUUUUCUCUAGUAUGUGUCUAUGUGUAGGUCAGAACGACCCUGGCAGAUGAAUUCUUUUCAUACCCUAUGCAGCAAUGGCAUGUAGAGGUGGCUGUACUUCUAGCAAAGGUGUCAUGCCUGGGAUCACGGUGGCCACUUUACCCCUAUUUUGUAAAAUGUGCAUUCCCAGUCAUUUGCUCUUCUCUAUCCUUAUCUCUGGGUCAUUCCUAUGUCCUGAAAUUGUGACUGAAACACAACCUCAGAAAAGGUCUAUGUUUGGAGACAGCCUUUUUUAUCCUUAUUUAUUCCUACAUGUUAGUGAUUGUCUUAGUCAGGGUUUCUAUUCCUGCACAAACAUCAUGACCAAGAAACAAGUUGGAGAGGAAAGUGUUUAUUCAGCUUACAAUUCCAUACUGCUGUUCAUCACCAAGGAAGUCAGGACUGGAAGUCAAGCAGGUUAGGAAGCAGGAGCUGAUGCAGAGGCCAUGGAGGGAUGUUCCUUACUGGCUUGCUUCCCCUGGCUUGUUCAGCCUGCUCUCUUAUAGAACCCAAGACUGCCAGCCCAGAGAUGAUCCCACCCACAGGGGCCUUUCCCCCUUGAUCACUAAUUGAGAAAAUGCCCCACAGCUGGAUCUCAUGGAGGUACUUCCCCAACUGAAGCUUCUUUCUCUGUGAUAACUCCAGCCUGUGUCAAGUUGACACAUAAAACCAGCCAGUAUAGUGAUGUAAAAUGGAUUUUACUGUGAUACUUUCAUACAUGUAUAUAAUGCAUUUUGGUUAUAGUCACUCUUCCUUAUCCUCUCCUAUCCUGUUAAUACUUUAACUGAUCCAUUUCUCUUUCCAGAUUUUGUUACCAUUGUCUUCUUCCUCCUACUCCUCCUACUCCUACUCCUCCUUCUCCUCCCCUUCCCUUCUCCAGCAUCCUCCUCCUCUUUCUUCCGUAAUGAGCUUCAUUUACAGGAGCAUGCGUGAGAGGUUAUUUAUAGGGUCCUGAGCAUUUUACUAGUGCCUACACCACUGGUACAAAAGGAGACAGUCUCUAUAAAGAGGUAAUUAAACUAAAAUGAAGCCAGUAGAGUGGUCCUUACCCAGUGGGGCUGGUCUCAGUAGAGUGGGUCCUUAACCAGUGACUGACCUCUUUAUAUGCAGAGGAGAUUUGGAAACAGGGAAUGAGGACAUAAGGAGAUGACCACCAGAAAGUCAAGGAGAGGCACUCACCAGAAUUUAAUUCUGCAAGGAUCUUGGCUUUCAAGCUUCUGACUAUGGAAACAUGACUUUCUAUUGUUAAACUGCCUCUUCUGUGCCUACUGGUGCUUUUUGUGGCAGCUUAAACAGGCUAAUGUAAUGUAAUUGCCAUUUUAACAAAUUCCUGGAAGAAUGUCUGAGUCAGUAAAGUGCUUGUCUUGUAAGCAUGAGGAACUGAGUUCAAUCCCUGGGACCCAACUGGUGCACAGUUGUAAUCCCAGAGGUAGUCAGGGACUCACUGGCCAGCUUGUUAAGUUCCAAGAUAAUGAGAUACCAUGUAUCAAGAAACAAGGUAGACAUUUUCUGAGGAACAACAUGUGUGGUUGUCCUCUGGCCUCCACAUGCUUGUGCACACAUGUGUGGUACCAGGUACAUGAUUCAAUCUUUUUCAGGUUCAGGGCUGUCAAUCCCUGAUGCUUUUGUGAUAGAUGUCUAGGGCUUUUGAAGUAAACAUGAGCACCUGGGGGAACUUCUCAUUUUAGUGACUAAGUAGGCUAGUUGCUUGCUCCAGAGUCAGUCCCAAAAGACAUGCUUUGAAAUAUUACAAGUUGUUUCAAGAUCACCUUUGUUCUGCCUUUCAUGAAUUCUGCAUGCUUUGACUCAUGGUUCAAUAUGCCAAAAAGUCACCAAUCUUGAGAAUUUAUAUGUGAUUUCUUCACAGUGAUUUUUUUUUUUUUUAGGAAUGAGAUAUAUAUCUCAUUGCGUUUGUAUUUAUUUUGCAUUGUGAGAUUUUUUCUCUUCUUAUUAAAAAUUUAAAUCUAAUAAAAAUUUUUGGGUGUAUAUGGAACUGAAAAGGAGCUAAAAGAUAAACGCUCAGACCUCAUCUUGAUUGGGCUGGAGAAGACCAGGGACCCUUGUCCAGGCAGUUUUGCUUU